UGGCUCAGAACGAACGCUGGCGGCGUGCUUAACACAUGCAAGUCGAACGCGAAAGGGGACUUCGGUCCUGAGUAAAGUGGCGCACGGGUGAGUAACGCGUAGAUAACCUGUCUUCAUGUCUGGAAUAAUACGCCGAAAGGGGUACUAAUACCGGAUAUUCUUGCUUUUCAUAAGUUAUGCAAGCAAAGGUGGCCUCUGCAUAUGCUACUGCAUGAAGAGGGGUCUGCGUACCAUUAGCUAGUAGGUGGGGUAAUGGCCUACCUAGGCGACGAUGGUUAGCGGGUCUGAGAGGAUGAUCCGCCACACUGGCACUGGAACACGGGCCAGACUCCUACGGGAGGCAGCAGUGAGGAAUAUUGCGCAAUGGGGGAAACCCUGACGCAGCGACGCCGCGUGAGUGAGGAAGGCCUUCGGGUCGUAAAGCUCUGUCAAGAGGAAAGAAGUGUACAAUGGCUAAUACCUGUUGUAUUUGACGGUACCUCUAAAGGAAGCACCGGCUAACUCCGUGCCAGCAGCAGC
rnacentral:rRNA from 1 species